UGUUGAUGGAACUUCGUUUGGUUCGAUCGUGUUUCAGUGAGGAACAGCUCUGGAAGCCAAUACUGCAGGUCUUUAAAGAAACCUUAACUAAUCUCUCAAUUGUGAAAGAUGAAGGGAAAUGAGGAAUUUGAUGUGAAAUGGAAAGAGAGAGGGAGCAGAGUGUCCACGACCUGUGGUGGUGUAGGAAGAGAUUUGCACGCUACUCUAUUCCAGAGGCUUUCGAUUGCUUUUCCUUCGGAAUAUCCUUCUUCGAUUCCUCAGUUUGGUGGUUUUGAAUACUCUAGCAAUACUGGUUUUUGAGGAGCCAUGUGAAGCUCAGACUCUCACAAGUCAAGAAGGUCUUCAGACUCCUAAUGUGAGUAGUCAGCGCUUGUCUGUUGGGAUGACACCCAAGACCCUUAGGCUGCCGAAACCUGGCGAGAUGCUUCUCUGUCUAUGGAUCACCUCUUGGUGUUUAUAAGGAAAAUAACAUGGAAGCUAUAUAUGGUAUAAAGCAAAUGUUCUAAUUGAAACUAUUGCUAUAUCUUGUUCAUUUUUCUAGGGUUUUCUAGGGUUAUUCAAGGAUUUCCACAGUUUUUUAGGGUUUU